GGGAGGAGAGGGAUGGGGAGAAGGGAGGAGAGGGAUGGGGAGAAGGGAGGAGAGGGAUGGGGAGAAGGGAGGAGAGGGAUGGGGAGAAGGGAGGAGAGGGAUGGAGAGAAGGGAGGAGAGGGAUAGAGAGAAGGGAGGAGAGGGAUGGGGAGAAGGGAGGAGAGGGAUGGGGAGAAGGGAGAAGAGGGAUAGAGAGAAGGGAGGAGAGGGAUAGAGAGAAGGGAGGAGAGGGAUAGAGAGAAGGGAGGAGAGGGAUAGAGAGAAGGGAGGAGAGGGAUGGGGAGAAGGGAGGAGAGGGAUGGAGAGAAGGGAGGAGAGGGAUAGAGAGAAGGGAGGAGAGGGAUAGAGAGAAGGGAGAAGAGGGAUAGAGAGAAGGGAGGAGAGGGAUGGGGAGAAGGGAGAAGAGGGAUAGAGAGAAGGGAGGAGAGGG